AGAGUUUGAUCAUGGCUCAGAACGAACGUUAGCGGCGCGCCUAACACAUGCAAGUCGAGCGAGAAAGGGCUUCGGCCCCGGUACAGCGGCGCACGGGUGAGUAACACGUAGGUAAUCUUCCCUCGAGCGGGGGAUAACCUUCCGAAAGGAGGGCUAAUACCGCAUAAGACCACGGCUUCGAAAGGAGCAGGGGUCAAAGC
rnacentral:rRNA from 1 species